UACGUAGGGUGCGAGCGUUGUCCGGAUUUAUUGGGCGUAAAGAGCUCGUAGGCGGUGUGUCGCGUCGGCCGUGAAAACCUGCAGCUUAACUGUGGGCGUGCGGUCGAUACGGGCAUCACUGGAGUUCGGCAGGGGAGACUGGAAUUCCUGGUGUAGCGGUGAAAUGCGCAGAUAUCAGGAGGAACACCGGUGGCGAAGGCGGGUCUCUGGGCCGGUACUGACGCUGAGGAGCGAAAGCGUGGGGAGCAAACAGG
rnacentral:rRNA from 1 species